rnacentral:lncRNA from 1 species
AACAGGCUCAAUUAUAUAGAAACUAGAAAAAAGGAAAACAUUCAAACAUUUAAACAAACCAACAAUAGGGUAACUUCAUCCUAAUCUUAUGUUUAGUUCUUUUCUCUACAAAAUUACAGAGUUCUCUUUGUCUCGUCGGAACCUCUUUGCAUUACAUCUCGAUGAAGGCUUCGAUCAUGCUGUUGAGCUCCUCACAGCUGAAAUCAUCCUCAUUAAACUAACCCCCUAUUCUUCUUCUUCUUUUUCUUUCUCAUCAAACUCCCUAUCGACAAUCACUCAAUGCCUUCCCGGAUCUGCGAGAACUCGUUGAAUUGUCCGAUUGAAUGCUUUAAGCGCUCUUGAUGAUCAUUGUUAAAGCUGAAGAAUAUUGAUCUUUCUUGACAAUAUCUUCCAGUUUAUCACUCUCGUAUACUCUGUUCUCCUAAUCAGAAGCAAAGCAAUCUUCUUCAGGAUUGGUCUCUGAUCUUUCCUCAGUUUUCCAGCCAACUCGAAAUCAGAAGCAUAUCAAUGUUCUUCAGCAAUGGUUUCUGAUCUUCCCUCUAUUUUCCAGCCAAUCAACAAACAUGGUGAAGUAAAAAGGUUCCCCUCCCAAGCACAAAGUGAAUGGAGAAAGGACCGGAAAAGCAAAGUAAUCGCUGAGUUGAUAUUCUAGAAUGUAGAUAGUUUCGUUCAAUAAUCAAAUCAUGUAAAGAAACAAAUGGCUCCUCCGUCAAUGUACUUCACGGAAUCAGCUCCGGAUGAUUAUUUAGAUUGAUUGUUGACUCAUAAUUAUUUAUGGAUGUUUCAUAUAUGGACUUGUUGAUUUCUUAUUA